rnacentral:rRNA from 1 species
CAGCAAGCCGCGGUAAUACGUAGGGGGCGAGCGUUACCCGGAUUCACUGGGCGUAAAGGGGGUGUAGGCGGCUCGGUACGUCGGGUGUGAAAUCCCACGGCUCAACCGUGGAAUUGCGCCCGAAACUGCCGAGCUUGGGGCCGGUAGAGGGAGACGGAACUGCCGGUGUAGGGGUGAAAUCCGUAGAUAUCGGCAGGAACGCCGGUGGGGAAGCCGGUCUCCUGGGCCGCGCCCGACGCUGAGGCCCGAAAGCUAGGGGAGCAAACCGGAUUAGAUACCCGGGUAGUCCUAGCCGUAAACGAUGCCCACUAGGUGUGGGGGAGUAUUUCCUCCGUGCUGGAGCUAACGCGUUAAGUGGGCCGCCUGGGGAGUACGCCCGCAAGGGUGAAACUUAAAGGAAUUGGCGGG